GGUGGGGGUGGAAGGAGAGCUAGCCAGCAGUCACUCCUCUUCUGGUCCCCUCCCUCUCCCUUCCCCUCCCCCAGCUCCAGAUCCUCCCUCCUACCUUCCCUGGGCUGGGGGUUACAGUUCUUUUGCUCCCCUCCCCCUCCAAAAAAAUGCACCUCUAGUCUUGGAGAAAAGCUGGGCUAUGUACAUUGCCUGGUGCUAGAGCACAGCUGUCUGGUCCUUCUUCCCUGGAAGACAGAUGUGGAAAAACUGAAACUUCCAAGCAAGAAAUUCCAAAAAGAGGCCAGAAUCGCCCAGUACUAUAGACAGAGGGCCAGGAAACAGAAAAAAGCAGUUUCCUUCUUGAAAAUCCACCUGCUACGCAAUCACCCGUAUGGUAAUUACCUGUCCUGGCCACCACACAUCUCAGGAAAAAAGGAGUACCUGAAAUCUUGCCAGUCCAUCAGCUCGUUGGCCAGGUGAGGAUGCUCAGGUGGAAGUUGGCGUAUCAUCUCGGCUCAACUCUGCUUGCUUCUUGGGGAGCCUUCUGCCGGGCUCCCCUUGAGCCCCCUCUUCUUACCCACAAUGCCUGCUCGGAACAUUCUCCUCCCUCCUCAGGUUCUCCAGCCCCCCUCCCCCAUGUCCUGCCUGACAAUUCUCAGCAAUAUCCCCCCAUUCUCUCUUACUUUCCUCCCCAAGUCUCAGAGAAAGAGGUAUCAUCAAACACUGGAACCUAGGUCAGUGCCGUCAGUGACCAGUCUUGACUCCAGAGAUGGGAGGCGGAGGAGGUGGAGGACAUCUAAUGUGACCUCCGACUCCAGCUCCGAGAUGUCAUGAAGUGGUUCUCCUUGCUCUCGGUAUUCACUGAGGCAGCUAUUUCCUUGAACUCCUUCAAUCGCACAGCUGCUGGAGAGGAGGCAGUUAUUGGGAAGUGACAGCAAUGUAAAAAAUCAAUAAAACUUUUCUUCAAAAAAGAAAGAAAUGGGGGUAGCUAGGUGGCACAGUGGCUAGAGCACCAGCCCUGAAGUCAGGAGGACCUGAGUUCAAAUCUGGCCUCAGACCCUUAACGCUUCCUGGCUGUGUGACCCUGAACAAGUCACCUAACCCCAGUUGCCUCAGCCAAAAAAGAAAAAUAGAAGGAAAGGAAAGGAAAGAAAAAGAAAAAGAAAAGGAAAGAUGUUUUUAGCUCCCCACUGCCAAACCUCAUCCCUUGACCUGCUUCUUAGGUCCUAUUCUCUGGCCCCUCCUCCAGAACCUUGCUCCCUUCGGGAGGAGGGGGGAGCGUGUAGGCUUUCACAUCUGUAAUCUUUCAAGCUUCUGCCCAAAGAAGGACAUGGUUGUUUAACAUCCUCCAGCAACAUUUGCUGGUUCAGAAGGAGCACAUAAGGACGAUUGUGUGUGUGUCGGGGUCACUGAGGGUUGGCCUGGGCUUGGGGAUUAGCAGGGUUUUAGUAACUGAAGGAUAAGGGGGCAAAGGAUUCUGGGGGAAGGAAACAGUACCUUGUUUAACUGGUUACCUGUAGGCUCACAAGUAUCAAAGGAGGAAGAAAGUGAGUGGGAGAACAGGAAGGGAUGGGGGAACCAAAGGCUGAGGUGAAGACAGGGUAGAUUCAGGAGUAAUCUGUGAUGGUGACAGGUCAUUCAAAGAAGGGGUAAUUGCAGAGUUCAGGAUUUUGCAGGUGAAGAGAUUCUCAAGCUGGGAGCAGGCCUGAGAAGUGACUACUCCUGAGACAGAGGAGAUAUGGAGGAUCAGCUGGGAGGCCUGGGUGCUUGAAAGGGGACAGAGCAGGAGGGUAGAGGCGGGCUAGUGGAGGGGGGGACUGUGAGUCAGUGAGCUAGAAGUAAUUAAAGAAAGGAGAGUUGGCGACCUGGAGGCUGGUGUCCGAGGCCCCCGAGCAGCUGAUCCGACUAAUAGGAAGAGAUGGCGUGAACCUCAGAAUAGGAGUUUGCCGAGUGGUGAUGGCCACGAGGAACGUGGGAGAUGCUACCUUCCUCUCCGGGCCCAAGUCUCACCAGCAUAAGGGAAGCAGCAGCCGGUGCUAAAGAGGGUGAUAAAGGAUGAGGGACCUUCUGGAGAAAGGCAGAAGAUGGAGGGCGGGUCCUCCAAUCAAGAGCAGUCUCCUCCAGCGGAGGAGAGCAUCUGAAUUACAGGUUAAUCAGUCAAUAAUCAUUUAUGAAGUGCUAACUAUGGGCCGGGCACUGUGCUGAGCUCUAGGGAUUCUGUCCUCAAGGUCCUGUCCUCAAGGAGCUCGCAUUUUAAUUGGGGAGGGGGGAAAGGGGAGAGAAGUACACCAUGGACAUAUAUAGUGUAGAUAGCAAGCAAUUUCAAAAAGUAGGUACUAGUACUAGGAGUAGAAAGCUGGAAGAUUUAGGAGGAACAGAUAAGGAGGGACAUUCCAGGUAUAAGGAACAGAUAAGGAGGGACGACAUUCCAGGUAUGGGAGACAGCUGGGACAAAGGCCUGAAAUCAGGAGACAGAGUAGUUUGGGAACAGCAAGUACGCCAAUAUGGCCAAGUGGUAGAGUGUAUGGAAGGGAAGUAAAGUAUAAGGAAACUAGGAAAGUGGGGAGGGGCCAAAAUCAUCAACAUUUUCAAAUGGGGAGGGGCCAGAAUCAUCAACAUUUUAAAAUGUAUGUUAAGAUAUAUUUAACAUUCAUAUUACUAACAAAAAUUAUAAGGAAAAGAUAGAAAAAUAAAUUCCAUACGAUAUAACUACAAAACGUGUCACAUAUCUGGGACUUAUAUAAAUACAGUUAUAAAACAAUCAUUCCAAAAAUGAAGGAAGCGCUAAAUAAUUGGAGCGUCUAUUGUGCAUGGCUAGGCAGUACCCAGAGAUGAAAAAGUGAUGAAACUACCCCAAUUGAUCUACGGAUUUAGUGCUAUGUUAAAGAAAACACUGAGAUUUUACUAGAUAAAAUAAAAACAAAAUUUACGUGGAGAAGCGAAAGGCCGAGAAUUUCAGGGAACAGAAUACCUCCUCAAACCCAGAAUGGUGGAAGCCUGAUCAUAACAGCUUUCAAAGUAAAACUGUUUGAGACUACCAUGAAAAAUAGAAGACGAGAUCAGGAGAAAAGACUAGAGAAGCCGGCCUAGAUGAAGAACUGAUGAACAGUCAUCACAGUCUGAUGAACAGACUGUGUUCACAGAACUGAAGAACAGUCGCACAGGUGUGAAGAAACCCCAGAGCACAAACUAUGGAGGGGAAGAUUUCUUCACAAACUGGAAAGCUAUGCGAUGGGAAACUACUUUAGCCCACCAGCUUUCACUGUCUCAUAGACCUAAGGAUGUGGGUCUAUGACCCGCAUCUGUCCAUUUCAGCUUGCGUCUCCUCUGAGAUGCUCUGUGCUUAGACAGGCUUUCUUUUUAUCUGUGGGUGUCCGCCUGCAUCUUCAUUUUCAGAAGGAAUCAUUAAGAUGCAUUUGCAUUGAAGAUUGGCGGGGCUUUAGGUGAUCUGUGACUCGCUCUGCACCUCCUAGUGCCUGAUAUCCAGAGUUGGUCUAGUUCUGCCUUUUCUAGAAAUCCUGCACAAUUCUUUUGCUUGGAGGAAAGUUGCCUCUUUGAGCAGGCCCUUCUUCAGCUGAUCUUGAGCUGCCAUCGCUUCCAGCUAAGCCGGGCUGCUGGCCUCCCUAAGUGUUUCUUUAUCUGGGGUACAGCAUUGCUUUUGCUAAGCCUGGUAUUCAAACCUAUCGCCCCUUCUCUCCAUUUGCCUGCUCUUGGGUUAUGAAGAGCUAAAGGAAAUCUUUCUGGGCUACUUUCUCAAUGGAGUCUGCCAAAGCCCUGAAAGUAUUGGAGUAUUAGAAACGAUACCCAUAGUCCUUUACCAGGCAUCCCAAGACCAACUUCUGCUCUUCCAGUAAUACCCUUCACACUGGACAGUUUGCUGUCCCCCUCACGUUGCCUACUUUAGCUCCUGCUGAUCUGACCCUGCCCUGGCCAGACAUAGGACGCAGUUCACUGCUUCCCAUGUUCUCAAAGCUGGAAGCACGAUCUUCACCAGACUAAAAGAAGUCCUUUCUACCCUUUUGGGUUCUAUUUGAAUUCUACUUAUCGAUUUGUCUACUUGUAAUUACUUAUAAUAUUUAU